rnacentral:tRNA from 1 species
GGGCCGUUAGCUCGGUUGGUAGAGCAGCGGACUUUUAAUCCGUUGGUCACUGGUUCGAAUCCAGUACGGCCCA